rnacentral:lncRNA from 1 species
CUCAAAUGUCCUGUAAUUCACAAAGCCUGGCAGCUCUCUACCACGAUACUGAUUUUCAAAUUUCUGGAUUUUUCUACUCAAAAUUUUAUGGCCUAUAGCAGGAAAAAAAACCCUCUAAAUUAUUUUACAAAAAUAAUCUUGCACAUUUUUCUAAACACAAUACCAUUCUAAAUUUUCUGAAAAUAUAAAUGGCAAGAAAAAGUGGUAUCAAAUCAAAUCUAACUGGUAAACUAAAAAUAUCCAGGGAUUACACACACACACACACACACACACACACACACACACACACACACACACAAAACCAGAUCUGAAGAUAAUUUUCCUUAGUCAUCUCAGGAAGGGGAGUGCAGAGCCAGGUACGAUGCCAGGAACCCACAUACGCAGAAACUUCGAGUAAGACCCUUUUUUUUCAUUUGUUUGUUUGUGACAGAGUCUCGCUCUGUCACCCAGGCUGGAGUGCAGUGGCGUGAUCUCAGCUCACUGCAAGCUCUGCCUCCCGGGUUCACGCCAUUCUUCUGCCUCAGCCUCCCAAGUAGCUGGGACUACAGGUACCCGCCACCACGCCCGGCUAAUUUUUUUGUAUUUUUAGUAGAGACGGGGUUUCACCGUGUUAGCCAGGAUGGUCUCAAUUUCCUGACCUCAUGAUCCACCUGCCUCGGCCUCCCAAAGUGCUGGGAUUACAGGCGUGAGCCACCGUGCCCGGCCAAGACCCCUUCUUAAAAACGUACUCGAGUAUGAAGUUUUGUGAAUCCAAUUUUAGUUUUACCAAAGAAAUUGUACCAUAAUACACUCCUUGCCCUCAACUGCAUGCCCAUUAGAAAUGAGCAUGAACACUUUCUGGAAUUAACAAUACAUCACAUAUUCAUGUGUCGAAAGUAUUGCCAUGUGUAGAAAGUGUUUACAAGUCAAAUGGGAUAACAGAGUAAACCAGGCACAUCAACUUGUAUGAAUGUGAUACAGUAGCACUGUUCACUGUGUAAGAUGCUGCAUUUUUCUUUAAACUUUUGGAAUGAUUUGUACUCCCAACAAUCCACACUAGAGAGAGUUAGCCCCAUCAGAAGUUCAGAGGGUUUGAGUUCCUUUUUGAGUGGUAAUCUAGAACACUUUUUUUAGUCAGGAAAUAUUUUCCCAUAAGGAUUUUUCUAAUUGAGAUGUCAUUUACAUAGUAUAACAUUCACUCUGUUAAAAAUAUAUGGUUCAGGCCAGGCACAGUGGCUCACGCCCGUAAUCCCAACACUCUGGGAGGCUGAGGCCAGUGAUCACCUGAGGUCAGGAGGUCGAGACCAGCCUGGCCAACAUGGUGAAACCCCAUCUCUACUAAAAAUACAAAAAUUAGACAGGUGCCUAUAAUCCCAGCUACUAGGGAGGUGGAGGCUGAAGCAGGAGAAUCGCUUGAAUCUGGGAGGCAGAGGGUGCAGUGAGCCGAGACUGAGCCACUGCACCCCAGCCUGGGCAACAGAGUGAGACCCUGUCUCCAAAGAAAAAGAAAAAAAAAAGUGUAUGGGUGAGUGAAUUUUAGUAUAUUCACAAAGUUGUGCGACCAUCCCCAGACAUAACUCCCAAACCCCACAUCCAUCACCCAUCAGUGAUAACUUCCCACUUUUCCCUCCCCAGCCCCUGGCAGCCACUAUUCUGCUUUCUGCCUGCCUGGGUUUGCCUGUUCUAGCCAUUUUCUAUCAAUGGAAUCAUAGACCGUGUGGCCUUUGUGGCUGGCUUCUUUCACUCAGCAUGACAUUUUCAAGGUUCAUCCAUGGGGUGCUGUGGACCAGCACUCUGUGCCUGUCUGUGGCUGGAAAUAUUCCAGGACUUGGUGUUACGGGCUGAGCUUGAGUUGUGACCUCUUCAAACUCCAAUGUUGAAGUCCUAACCCUCAGAAACUCAGAAUCUGACUGUGUUUGGAGACAGGCAAAGAGGUAAUUAAAUUGAAAUCAGGUCACUAGGGUGGGCCCUCAUCCCAUCUGCCUAGUGUCCUUGUGGGAGGAGAUGAGGACACACACACUGAGGGACAACCACAUGAGGACCCAAUGAGAAGAGGCCAUCUGCAAGGCAAGGAGAGAGGCCUUAGAAGGAACCAGCUCCACCAACAUCUUGAUCUUGGACUUCCAGCCUCCAGAACUGUAAGAAAAUAAAUUUCUACUGUUUAAGCCCCCCCAAGUCUGUGGUACUUUGUUAUGACAGCCAAAGCCAACCGCUACACACAGACACAAGCCAGUUGGUUUAUCAAUUCAUCAGUGGAUGGUCAUUUGGGUUCAGUGAUAUAGAAGAGAGCAAACAUGGCUUUAGUUGUCACUAGCUCCUUAUCCUGACCAUCCUCCCCAACUGCCCCACUCUUCUCUGUCUUAAGCCAACGUAUCAGGUUUACCACGGUAUUGACUCAUUGCUAUGGUCUACAUGUUGGUGUCCCCUAAAAAUUCCUAUGUUGAAACUUAAUCCCCAGUGUGAUGGUAUCAACAGAGGAGACCUUUAGGAAGGAUUGGGUUAUGAGCACUCUGCCCGCAUAAUGGCAUUCCAGGCAUAUCUUGUUUUAUUGCACUUCACUGAUACCGUAUUUUUUACAAAUUGAAAGUCUGUGGCAAUCCCAUGUCAAGCAAAUCAGCACCAUUUUUUUCCAGUAGCACAUGCUCACUUUUUGUUUCUGUACCAGCAAUUUUUUAGCAAUAAGGUGUUUUAAACUAAGGUACAUACAUAUUUUUUAGGCCUAAUGCUAUUACAUACUUAAUAGACUGCAGUAGGGCAUAAAUGAACUGUUUAUGCACCAGGAACCAAGAAGUUUAUAUGACUUGCAUUAUUGCAAUAUUCUUUUUGUCUGGAACUGAACCCACAAUAUCUCUGAGGUAUGCCUGUGGUACCCCUGUAAAAAAGAGGUCCGAGGAAGCUUGUUCGUCCCUUAUCCCAUGAGAGGACACAGCUAGAAGGUGCCAUCUUUGAAGCAGAGAACAAGCUCUCACCAGACACCAAAUUUCCUGAUUCCUUAAGAAUAGAUUUCUCACCUCCAGAACAAUGAGCAAUAAGUUUCUACUGUUUAUAAAUGACCCAGUCUCAGGUAUUCGGUUGUAGCAGCCCAAAAGAAGGGACUAAGACACUCACCUUCUUGAAAAUUGUUUUCAAUUAUUGUACUCCAUUUGUGGAACUCGUGUCGGAGUCUGGUAAACAGCCGAAUGUCUUCCUCCCCUACAGUUUCCUCUCCUUGCAUGAGAGCAGUGAUGUCCUGAUUAAAGGCAUUAACUUUCUGUCAAGAAGAAAAACAUCAGUAUAAGUGGAUAGACUUCAAAUCCAAGUGUCAAGGUCAUUUGGAGGCCGUGCCUAUGUGGAGGGUGGGGAGUCAUUCUUUGCUUUCUUAUGGGACACUGUGGAUCAGGGGAAAGAAGAGGUUUUGGCACUAGAAAAUCCUAUCCCACCCCUUACUGCCUUAGGGAUCUGGGUGAUGCUCGUGACAGAGUAGGCACAACGCAGCCUGAGCAUCCCUCGCUGCUGACUCCACCCCCACAUCUGCACUCCCUGCCCUGCCUCCCUCAGCCCUGUCCACCCUUUGAGUGCUACGGGCCAGAUGUCUUUGGAUCAGCCUUGGGGGAGUGAAGAAGGAAGUGCAUAAGGCCCAGGGUCCCUUUUUUGACCAUGACAUGUGCUUCUCCAGCUCCAUGCAGCUGGCAACACUCACAUCUAUCAGGAAGAACAUUUUUUCAUUUUCGUCUUCCGGUAUGUCGACACCAUACUUUUGUAGCUCCUCUGUUAUUCUCUGACCACAUUGCUUUCUGCAUCCAUCCAUCAAUGGACACUGAAUCAUCUCAUCUUCUGGCAAUUGUGAAUGUGCAGAACAGGAUGGCUUCGGACAGGCUCAGCUGGUCCUGGAUCUCCUGCUGGCCCCGGCACUUGACAAUCAUGUAACCCUUCUUCAGGUGGAACACGAGGUUCCGCACCACGUCCACAACCUUGUCUUCAGUUCCUUUGUCCACCAGAUCAGGCUUCGUCAAGAUUCCUGCGAGCCAGAUGUAUUUGGGGAGAGAACGUGCUCAGUCACGAGGCAGAGGUGAACGAACAACUGCUCACGCCCCCGGCCUCCCAGGGUUUCCUCCCAUCCUUGCUUGAGGACAGGCCAUAGCCCCUGCAGAACCAUGGGGGCAGUGGAGCCCCGCUCCAGAAAAGAACUCCACGACAAGCCGCGUGAAGGCAGGGAUGCCUCCCAGAACAGCAUGUGGCUCUCCCCAAGCUCCUUCACCCGGGUCCACUGUAGAACACGCCACGUUUUGUUUAUCCCUUGAGUUAUGGACAUCCCAUCUCAAAUGCAUUCUUAAUGAGUACCAUGUGCCUCCUGAGUUUGACCUGCUUCCGAGCCCACUGUGCCUUUCUGAGCAAGUAGAUAAGGCUUACAAGGCAACCUAGCCAGUGAGAGUCAAAAGCAGCUCAUUUCACUUGGCCUUGGUGGGCACCAAACCUGCUCCCUUAGCAGGUCUUAGUGGAGGCAGGUCCCCACUGAGCAAAGCCCAUGGAGACUGGAGGGACGCUUGCCCACUGGCAGACCACCGAGCACAGGCGGGCUCCCCCAUUCUCACCGAGCACAGGCGGGCUCCCCC